CUUGGAGCCUCACCUGCCUACAGGGACACAGCUCACAAGGACUCUUGCAAUUGCUGGGUGAGAAUCCAGGAUAACCUGCAGACUGGAAGUGCUGGGCUCUCCUGCUGGCAUGGUUGUGCUGGAGCCGCUGGUCCUGCAUCAGCUGGAGCUGAGCAAGAAGCAGUGCCAUCAGCAUGCUCCAGAAUUCUGGAUUCUACAGCUUAUGUUAAAUGGACAAUUUUGCAUAAAAGAAAAAGACAUGGCUUGCACAAAAAAAUUCCAUCCUAUUGUAUACCACCAUGUUACCAAUUGAGAAAAAUCUAUGGACCAUUGCCUUCAGGAUUCUUAAAGCACAGUAGAUGGCUGGGAUUCAACUUGUGGUGCUACCACUGACGUUCUGUGUAAGGCCUGUAUAUGCAGACAAGUAAUUUUCCAGAAAUAGAAUUUGUUGCUUUAUCUAUUCAGGGUAAACUGUUUGUGCAUUAUUGAUCUUGUAGGCAGACAUAACUACAUGGGAAAACACAGUAGCGAAAAAAGUUGGAGUUUGUUUGACCUUUUCAGUAUUUGAUACAAUUUUAAUUGUACAAAACAUCUAUAAAUAAGAAAAUAAUUCUGUAAAUUUCCAGAUCAAAGCUGCAAGCAGUUGCAUUGCUUGUUCUGGUGCUUACCUUGAAGAAGAUUAUAACCUCUUCAUAAAUUCAUGUAAUUUGUGGACAUCUAUGGCAAUUAUACUGUGUUGACACAUUAAAUUGAUUAUACAAGACAAACUCUAAUUAAAUGGCAGCCUUCCAAUUUUAACAAAGCUAUAAUUUAUUUUUUGAAUGCUUUCUUAUGUGGUUCAUUUUCUCCUUCCAAUUCUGAUUUUGUUUUUCUUGACAUCUGUUUUUGGUAUUAUAGUGGCCUUUGACUUGCUGAACCUCCCAGGUACUACUGCAGUGUAGAGGGAAAUAAAUAAGGGGCAUCAUGCAUGCAUCAGGAUUCUUCUAGAUGUGGCUUGUAUCACUCAAAAAUAUUUUUCAAAAGAUGUGCAUUUUUUACCUUUCUCUUGAUCCUUGCAUAUCCAGCCAUCCACUUUCAUUUUCUGAACAUCACUUUAAACCAGACACUGUUUUUGUGGACCUUAAUACGUUUUUACAGUGCACAUGAUAUUCAUCUGCGUAGCACAGAAAUGUUAAUUCAAGCACUAGAACUGGCUACCUAGCAAAGUGGCUGAUGCCCCAUGCCUGUCAUUGUCCAAGAGGCAUUCAGAUAAUGCCAUCAAUAACAUGCUGUAACUUCUGGUUAGCUCUGAAAUGGUCAGGAAGCUGGACAGGAAGAUCCUUCUACUGUGCCUUCCAUCUGAACUUUUUUAUUCUACUCUACUGUACUCUACUCUGUUCAACAUUUCCUGCUAAAUAUCAUUUUCUGUGUUAUCAUUUUUGUGAUAAAUGCUAAGGCUAAACACAGGAAGCUUGAAAACUCUCACAGGAAGACUGCAACUGUUUGAAUGACUGAAAGAAGUUCCAUUCUUCAGGGAAACUCUUCUUCAUAUUUCAUUUUCAAUAGGGAACAAUUAUAGAUGCUCUGAAGGAGUGCACUCUGAAUUCAUGGACAUCCCUGAAAUUGAGGAAUGCUUUUAGGCCACUCAUGACUCUAGAAAUGUCAUGAACCUUAACUACAUCACCUUAAGAAUGGAGUAAAUAGCAAGGACCAAGUUCCUUCAUUGAGAGAAAAAAAAAUAACUGAUUUGCCUACAUUUGUGACUUGGAAAAUGUAGCAGUGGUACAAGAUAAGAGGUACAACGCAAAGAGGUUCCUGCUAAUAUCCCUGCAAAUGUGUUUUCAGGUCAGUUUUACAGCCCUGAAAAAGUUAGGUUGUUGUUCUGAAGUUCCCACAAGCUGUCAUACUUCAGCAUCUUCUCAGAGAGAAC
ensembl:lncRNA